rnacentral:rRNA from 1 species
UCCUCAGCAGCUAGCCCUUCCUCCCAAAAACAACAAACAAUAUUAAUAAACCCGAAGACAGGUCAAUACCUUAACUAAACCAUUUUUCCCCCCAAGUAUAGGAGAUAGAAAAG